rnacentral:misc_RNA from 1 species
GAUGAAGAACGCAGCGAAAUGCGAUAAGUAAUGUGAAUUGCAGAAUUCAGUGAAUCAUCGAAUCUUUGAACGCACAUUGCGCCCGCCAGUAUUCUGGCGGGCAUGCCUGUUCGAGCGUCAUUUCAACCAUCAAGCCCCAGACUUGUGUUGGGGACCUGCGGCUGCCGCAGGCCCUGAAAACCAGUGGCGGGCUCGCUGUCACACCGGGCGUAGUAGAUUUUAUCUCGCUCAGGGCGUGCUGCGGGUUCCGGCCGUUGAAAAGCCUUUUUUACCCAAGGUUGACCUCGGAUCAGGUAGGAAGACCCGCUGAACUUAAGCAUAUCAAUAAGCGGAGGA